UACAGAGGUCCCAAGCGUUGCCCGGAUUUAUUGGGCGUAAAGGGCGCGCAGGCGGCUGCUCAAGUCAGGCGUGAAAGGCCUGGGCUCAACCCGGGAAUUGCGCUUGAGACUGGGCUGGCUUGAGUGCGGGAGAGGAUGGUGGAAUUCCCAGUGUAGAGGUGAAAUUCGUAGAUAUUGGGAAGAACACCGGUGGCGAAGGCGGCCAUCUGGACCGCAACUGACGCUGAGGCGCGAAAGCUAGGGGAGCAAACAGG
rnacentral:rRNA from 1 species